AUUUAAUUGCAUCCUACAGAAUCCAUUUCAUCCUUUGCAAUGUCAUCGGGAACCUACUGGUAUUCUGAUGGAUAGCAAGGUAACACGCCUUCUUCGGAGAGCACGUGAGACGGGAUCAAUACGAUUCAAGCUGUCCCUCAAGUCUUGUCCACGAAUGCGAAUACCUGAAAAAAACACAAACAAGAGUACCGAUUCGGCAUUGAUGUCUACCCUUGGGCGACCCACAGAAAUUGAAAGUGCCUCCCCUGGCUCUCCUCCACCAGCAGCAGCAGGCGGCAGGCUACCAG